GGAAGGCUGGCAUUGGACGGACGUCUCGCCAACCCGGUCAGGUCGGGAACGAAGCAGCCGUAACGAGUAUUGUUCGGGUCAGUGUUCAGCUUUCCACU
rnacentral:SRP_RNA from 1 species